CUACGGGCGGCACCAGUGGGGAAUAUUGCACAAUGGACGAAAGUCUGAUGCAGCAACGCCGCGUGGAGGAUGACACAUUUCGGUGCGUAAACUCCUUUUAUAUAGGAAGAUAAUGACGGUACUAUAUGAAUAAGCACCGGCUAACUCCGUGCCAGCAGCCGCGGUAAUACGGAGGGUGCAAGCGUUACUCGGAAUCACUGGGCGUAAAGAGCGUGUAGGCGGAUAGAUAAGUCAGGAGUGAAAUCCUAUGGCUCAACCAUAGAACUGCUCUUGAAACUGUCAAUCUAGAGUGUGGGAGAGGUAGAUGGAAUUUCUGGUGUAGGGGUAAAAUCCGUAGAGAUCAGAAGGAAUACCGAUUGCGAAGGCGAUCUACUGGAACAUAACUGACGCUGAGACGCGAAAGCGUGGGGAGCAAACAGGAUUAGAUACCCUCGUAGUC
rnacentral:rRNA from 1 species